rnacentral:rRNA from 1 species
AAACCAACAGGGAUUACCUCAGUAACGGCGAGUGAAGCGGUAACAGCUCAAAUUUGAAAUCUGGGUCUUUCAGGCUCCGAGUUGUAAUUUGUAGAAGAUGCUUCGGGUGCGGCUCCGGUCUAAGUUCCUUGGAACAGGACGUCAUAGAGGGUGAGAAUCCCGUAUGUGAUCGGUUGCUUGCGCCCAUGUGAAGCUCUUUCGACGAGUCGAGUUGUUUGGGAAUGCAGCUCAAAAUGGGUGGUAAAUUUCAUCUAAAGCUAAAUAUUGGCCAGAGACCGAUAGCGCACAAGUAGAGUGAUCGAAAGAUGAAAAGCACUUUGGAAAGAGAGUUAAACAGUACGUGAAAUUGUUGAAAGGGAAGCGCUUGCAACCAGACUUGCGCGUUGCCGAUCAUCCGGGGUUCUCCCCGGUGCACUCGGCCUCGCUCAGGCCAGCAUCGGUUUUGGUGGUGGGAUAAGGGCCUUGGGAAUGUAGCUCCUUUCGGGGAGUGUUAUAGCCCUCGGUGCAAUGCCGCCUACCGGGACCGAGGACCGCGCUUCGGCUAGGAUGCUGGCGUAAUGGUUGUAAGCGAC